rnacentral:rRNA from 1 species
GGACAACCUACCCUUCGGUCCGGCAUAAUCCUGGGAAACUGGGGAUAAUUCCGGAUAGGUCACAGAUGCUGGAAUGCUCUGUGGCUCAAAGCUCCGGCGCCGAAGGAUGGGUCUGCGGCCUAUCAGGGUUGUAGUGGGUGUAACGUACCUACUAGCCUACGACGGGUACGGGUUGUGAGAGCAAGAGCCCGGAGAUGGAUUCUGAGACACGAAUCCAGGCCCUACGGGGUGCAGCAGGCGCGAAAACUUUACAAUGCGGGAAACCGUGAUAAGGGAAUCUCGAGUGCCAGCAUAUAAUGUUGGCUGUCCAGAUGCCUAAAAAGCAUCUGUUAGCAAGGGCCGGGCAAGACCGGUGCCAGCCGCCGCGGUAACACCGGCGGCCCGAGUGGUAACCGUUUUUAUUGGGUCUAAAGGGUCUGUAGCCGGCCAGGUAAGUCCCUUGGGAAAUCUGGCAGCUCAACUGUCAGGCUGCUAGGGGAUACUGUUUGGCUUGGGACCGGGAGAGGUGAGAGGUACCUUGGGGGUAGGGGUGAAAUCUUGUGAUCCCCGGGGGACCACCAGUGGCGAAGGCGUCUCACCAGAACGGGUCCGACGGUAAGGGACGAAAGCUAGGGGCACGAACCGGAUUAGAUACCCGGGUAGUCCUAGCCGUAAACGAUGCUCGCUAGGUGUCAGUCACGGUGCGACCGUGAUUGGUGCCGUAGGGAAGCCGUGAAGCGAGCCACCUGGGAAGUAUGGCCGCAGGGCUGAAACUUAA